UCUGCCCUCCUCGGCCUUCCAAAGUGCUGGGAUUAUAGGCGUGAGCCACUGCGCUGGCUGGUUUUUGCUUUUUAAGGUUGACAGAAACCCCUUGCAGUUGUGCCUUUUUGCCCUUGCAUCUUUUGGAUGGAAACAUUGAUUUAAGUUAGCAUAUUAAGCAGUGGAUGUCUUUUCUGUGCGAAGGGAAAUACAUCACAGUAUGGUGUGUGCACUGUGAGCUUUGAGGGCCCUGUGGACUUCGGUUUCCUAGAUGCCUUGUCCUUCUUGGGGAGGCAGUCAGCUGUGUUCAGGGCCUAUGUGGGGAGAUAGUGCCCUCUGCAGAGGUGAACAUUACAUGGAUGAACCGGAGCAGCCGCUGUCCUGACUGAUCUGUCAGGCCCAGAAGGCUUUCUUGAGUAGAGUGUGGUCUGGCUCCGGCCUCCCGGCUGCCUAGCAUGCUAGGCACUCAGGUGUUUGUCCAUUGGAUAGGUUAAUUGACAGGGACCAGCUG